rnacentral:rRNA from 1 species
AGUCGAGGGGUAUAGUUCUUCGGAACUAGAGACCGGCGCACGGGUGCGUAACGCGUAUGCAAUCUGCCUUUCACAGAGGGAUAGCCCAGAGAAAUUUGGAUUAAUACCUCAUAGUAUUAUAGACUGGCAUCGGUUUAUAAUUAAAGUCACAACGGUGAAAGAUGAGCAUGCGUCCCAUUAGCUAGUUGGUAAGGUAACGGCUUACCAAGGCGACGAUGGGUAGGGGUCCUGAGAGGGAGAUCCCCCACACUGGUACUGAGACACGGACCAGACUCCUACGGGAGGCAGCAGUGAGGAAUAUUGGUCAAUGGACGCAAGUCUGAACCAGCCAUGCCGCGUGCAGGAUGACGGUCCUAUGGAUUGUAAACUGCUUUUGUACGAGAAGAAACACUCCUACGUGUAGGAGCUUGACGGUAUCGUAAGAAUAAGGAUCGGCUAACUCCGUGCCAGCAGCCGCGGUAAUACGGAGGAUCCAAGCGUUAUCCGGAAUCAUUGGGUUUAAAGGGUCCGUAGGCGGUUUAGUAAGUCAGUGGUGAAAGCCCAUCGCUCAACGGUGGAACGGCCAUUGAUACUGCUGAACUUGAAUUACUGGGAAGUAACUAGAAUAUGUAGUGUAGCGGUGAAAUGCUUAGAUAUUACAUGGAAUACCAAUUGCGAAGGCAGGUUACUACCGGUGGAUUGACGCUGAUGGACGAAAGCGUGGGGGAGCGAACAGGAUUAGAUACCCUGGUAGUCCACGCCGUAACGAUGGAUACUAGCUGUUGGGCGCAAGUUCAGUGGCUAAGCGAAAGUGAUAAGUAUCCCACCUGGGGAGUACGAACGCAAGUUUGAAACUCAAGGAAUUGACGGGGGCCCGCAC